CCUACGGGAGGCAGCAGUGAGGAAUAUUGGUCAAUGGCCGGAAGGCUGAACCAGCCAUGCCGCGUGAAGGUCAGUGCCCUAUGGGCGUUAAACUUCUUUUGUGCGGGAGCAAUAAUGGUCACGUGUGGCCAGACGAGAGUACCGUAUGAAUAAGCAUCGCCUAAAUCCGUGCUAGCAGCCGCGGUAAUACGGGGGAUGCAAGCGUUAUCCGGAUUUAUUGGGUUUAAAGGGGACGUAGGUUGUGAGGUAAGUCAGCGGUGAAAUGCCCCCGCUCAACGGGGUGAAGUGCCAUGGAUACUGCGUAGCUGGAGUGCGGAUGCCGUGGGAGGAAUGUGUGGUGUAGCGGUGAAAUGCGUAGAUAUUAGGAAGAACACCAGUGGCGAAGGCGGCUUUCUGGACUGAAACUGACGCUGAGGCACGAAAGCGUGGGGAGCGAACAGGAUUAGAUACCCGAGUAGUC
rnacentral:rRNA from 1 species